GACGAACGCUGGCGGCGUGCCUAAUACAUGCAAGUAGGCCACAGUUGCGACCGGGUGAGUCACACGUGGGUGACCUGCCCUGCACUUCGGGAUAAGCCUGGGAAACUGGGUCUAAUACCGGAUAGUGUGGGAUGGGCCCGCGGCCUAUCAGCUUGUUGGUGGGGUAAUGGCCUACCAAGGCGGCGACGGGUAGCCGGCCUGAGAGGGUGGACGGACACAGUGGGACUGAGACACGGCCCAGACGACGACGGGAGGCAGCAGUGGGGAAUAUUGCACAAUGGGCGGAAGCCUGAUGCAGCGACGCCGCGUGGGGGAUGACGGCCUUCGGGUUGUAAACUCCUUUCACCAUCGACGCGGUAGAUGGAGAAGAAGCACCGGCUAACUACGUGCCAGCAGCCGCGGUAAUAC
rnacentral:rRNA from 1 species